GACGAACGCUGGCGGCGUGCUUAACACAUGCAAGUCGAGCGGAGCGGCGAACGGGUGAGUAACGCGUGAGUCACUGCCCCCCCCUCUGGGAUAACAGUUGUACACGGCUGCUAAUACAGGAUAGUGGGGGAUGACUCGCGUCCUAUCAGUUUGUUGGUGGGGUAGUGGCUUACCACGGCGACGACGGGUAGCCGGCCUGAGAGGGGGACCGGCCACAUUGGGCUGGGAUACGGCGCAGACGCCUACGGGAGGCAGCGGUGGGGAAUAUUGCACAAUGGGGGAAACCCUGAUGCAGCAACGCGCGGGCGGGAUGACGGCCUUCGGGGUGUAAACCGCUUUCGGCCAUGACGCGGUAGUGGCAGAAGAAGCACCGGCUAACUACGUGCCAGCAGCCGCGGUAAUAC
rnacentral:rRNA from 1 species